rnacentral:rRNA from 1 species
UCAAAGAGUCAGGUUGUUUGGGAAUGCAGCCUAAAUUGGGUGGUAAAUCUCACCUAAAGCUAAAUAUUUGCGAGAGACCGAUAGCGAACAAGUACCGUGAGGGAAAGAUGAAAAGAACUUUGAAAAGAGAGUUAAACAGUAUGUGAAAUUGUUAAAAGGGAACCGUUUGGAGCCAGACUGGUUUGACUGUAAUCAACCUAGAAUUCGUUUUGGGUGCACUUGCAGUCUAUACCUGCCAACAACAGUUUGAUUUGGAGGACAAAAUUAAUAGGAAUGUAGCCUCUCGAGGUGUUAUAGACUAUUAUCAUACUCUGGAUUGGACUGAGGAACGCAGCGAAUGCCUUUAGGCAAGAUUGCUGGGUGCUUUCGCUAAUAAAUGUUAGAAUUUCUGCUUCGGGUGGUGCUAAUGUUUAAAGGAGGAACACAUCUAGUAUAUUUUUUAUUCGCUUAGGUUGUUGGCUUAAUGACUCUAAAUGACCCGUCUUGAAACACGGACC